AUAUGGACAUCCAUCAUAUAAUAAAAAAUACUACACAUAUACACACAAUAGAGGGGGACCCACCGGAAAAGAAAAAGAAAAGACCCUCACCAUUCUAGGUGGGCCCCACGGAUUGAUUCCAUUUUUCUUCCACAAGAAACCUUACCACAUAUAAUAUACAACAUACAGGGGUGAGAAAAAAAACAGAAAAGGCCCUUUUCUUGGUUCUCCUUCUUCUCCAUCUCCAUACACGCACACACAGUGGUCUUCUUUAUGAUCGAUACACACAUAGAGGGAGAUGGCGAGAAGAGCCUAGAUCGAGAGAGAGAGCAACGAAGAGAGAAGAGAGUGAGGCGAGAGAGGAAGGGAGAAUCAGUAGCGAGAGAGAGAUAGAGAGAUCUGCAAGGAAGAGAGAGAUUCGAGGUCGAGUUUUAGGUUAUUCUGGAACGGGUCUUGUAGGUUUGGUCAUUGUGCCGGCGAGGCGAAUCUAAUCGGAAACGGCAAAUCUCGAUGGAGCCGGUGGCUAUCCAGUGGAUUUAGGCCCCGUUGAUCCAGAAUCCAUCUUAAUUCAUCGUGUUCUUCCACUGCCUGAGCUCACCGAAGCUCAGGCUACACUGAUUCGAUUAUUCCAUCUUGUUGUUGGGGUUUCGGGUUUACCUGUUGUAAUACCUCGUAAAGUCCUAAGUCCAAAAUUCAGCUCAUUUGACUUUACAAGCUCCCAGACUUUUCAACACUUAGUUUUAUUUCAAGCCUCCAAACUUCGAGUACUUAUUUAAUGACCUUCCCGAUCUCUGAUUUUAGAUUUUCAAGUUGCGUUGCAAUCGGGAAAGUCAAUAGUACAUCUCGGCAAAGUUUUGGAACUUUCGAAAUCCGUUUAGGGCUUGUUUGAAUUUCAAAACAGUAGCAUCGGGCAAUCUGCAGGCGCCGCCCGUUAGUAGCACUGCUAUAAGGCAGUCGCCGCCUGCUAAUAGCGGUGCACUAGACCAGGCGUCACCUGCUAGUUCAGUGCUCACCCAGUUUUCAGCAGUCUACCUCCGUAUUUUAAAGGGUAUUUUGGUCAUUUUCCCUACCUUAUAUAAAGACUUAAACUCGGGAUUUGAGCCUAAAAAUACCAAAAUAUAGUUGUUUGUUGAAUUUUCUCUCAAGAACCAUCAAGAACAAACUUAGGGCUCAAUUAGGGGUUUCAAGAUUCAAGCUGUUUUCAUCGUAACUUUCACGAAUUCAUAACCUCAGGUUCAGAGACACGAGCCCCAGAUCAGCAUUAACAAUAGUAGCUGCAGUUCAGUUUUCAGAGUCAUUGGUGAGUCCUCAUCAUGCGAGGACACAUUAUUUUUCUUUAUCGGUUUAUUACUCAGUUUUAGUCAGUUUUAUUAGAUGGAGUUAGUUGGGGACAUGUUCCAUUCAACUCCUUAUUCAGACAUCUAGAGGCUUUCAGACGAUUACAGCAUUUUCAGAUUCAGACUUCAGUUAUUUUCAGUCAUUUUGGGUAUUUAUUAGCCCACGGGCGUUAUAUUUUAUUUUCAA